rfam:Triticum aestivum genome assembly, contig: Triticum_aestivum_CS42_TGACv1_scaffold_621636_7DS
UAUAUACUCCCUCCAUCCAGAAAUACGUGUCGCAGGAAUGGAUGUAUUUAGACAUAUUUUAGUUCUAGAUACAUCCAUCCAUUUCUCCAACAAGUAUUUUUGGAUAGAGGGAGUAAUUG